UUCCUAUCCAGCCCUGAUUCCUGCCACUGAGGAUCAUGACUUCCUUCCUUAUAGGGAUCAAUUAGAAAAUCCUGUGUUAAUUCUGGGACACAGAACUGGACAGUAGCCACUAGGUUUCUCUGCCCACGGGAUCCUCCAGCAAGAACACUGGAGUGGGCUGUCAUGCCCUCCUCCAGGGGAUCUUCCCAAUCCAGGGAUGGAACCCAUGUUUCUCUGUUUACUGCAUUGGCAGACUCUUGAGAGUCCCUUGGACUGCAAGGAGAUCCAACCAGUCCAUCCGAAAGGAGAUCAGUCCUGGGUGUUCAUUGGAAGGACUGAUGUUGAAGCUGAAACUCCAAUACUUUGGCCACCUCAUGUGAAGAGCUGAC
ensembl:lncRNA